GAUGAACGCUGGCGGCGUGCCUAAUACAUGCAAGUCGAGCGAACAGACGAGGAGCUUGCUCCUUCGACGUUAGCGGCGGACGGGUGAGUAACACGUAGGUAACCUACCUAUAAGACUGGGAUAACUUCGGGAAACCGGAGCCAAUACCGGAUAAUAUUUCGAACCGCAUGGUUCGAUAGUGAAAGAUGGCUUUGCUAUCACUUAUAGAUGGACCUGCGCCGUAUUAGCUAGUUGGUAAGGUAACGGCUUACCAAGGCAACGAUCCGUAGCCGACCUGAGAGGAUGAUCGGCCACACUGGAACUGAGACACGGUCCAGACUCCUACGGGAGGCAGCAGUAGGGAAUCUUCCGCAAUGGGCGAAAGCCUGACGGAGCAACGCCGCGUGAGUGAUGAAGGUCUUCGGAUCGUAAAACUCUGUUAUUAGGAAAGAACAAACGUGUAAGUAACUGUGCACGUCUUGACGGUACCUAAUCAGAAAGCCACGGCUAACUACGUG
rnacentral:rRNA from 1 species